rnacentral:rRNA from 1 species
GGAUCAUCAUGUCGGUCGUGCCUCUGGUACGUACUGGUAUCGUUGAUUUCUACCUUCUGACGAACUAUGAUGUCAUUAAUUUGGUGUCAUGGGGAAUCAGGACUGUUACUUUGAAAAAAUUAGAGUGUUUAAAGCAGGCUCGCGCUUGAAUACAUUAGCAUGGAAUAAUGAAAUAGGACGUUUGAUCUUAUUUUGUUGGUUUCUAGGAUCGACGUA